GUGGUCGGGGCGCGCAUUUCGGUUUGUCUUACAGCCGGUCCGCUACGGCAGAAUCCUCAAACAAUUCCCUGCAGGAUGAGGCGGACAUAUCGCCACCUGGCGUUUCGUCCCCGACUGUGCGGCCAAGGUGCUGCUGAUGCAGAAAGAGCUGGAGGCGUUGUUGGAAUGUGAGAGGGACCCCCAGGAAACCUCAAAAUCUCCCCAGGAGAGGCGACAGAAAGAGCCAGAGAAGGACAAAGCGUUUGGGGUGACCAUUUAAAACUGCUGCAUGCUGUGCUGUGUUGAAAAGAGGUGAAUACUUUGUCCCUUAAUAAAGAGACACCCUUCCCCGCAGUGAUUUUGACUUUUGGAUUCGGUUUGUGUGUGCGGAAUUCCUGUUUACGGGGGACGGCAUUCCCUCUAACACUCGGUGUAACACUCGGCUUAACCGGUCCCCUGCCCCCGCUGCUCAUUGUGUAUUUUAGAGUAAGAUUGCCAUCUAGUGACAAAAGUUAUAAUUGCAGCAAACUGGUAAUUUUGCC